AUUGAACGCUGGCGGCAUGCCUUACACAUGCAAGUCGAACGGUAACAGGUCUUCGGAUGCUGACGAGUGGCGAACGGGUGAGUAAUACAUCGGAACGUGCCUAGUAGUGGGGGAUAACUACUCGAAAGAGUGGCUAAUACCGCAUGAGAUCUACGGAUGAAAGCAGGGGAUCGCAAGACCUUGUGCUACUAGAGCGGCCGAUGGCAGAUUAGGUAGUUGGUGGGAUAAAAGCUUACCAAGCCGACGAUCUGUAGCUGGUCUGAGAGGACGAUCAUCCACACGGGGACUGAGACACGGCCCAGACUCCUACGGGAGGCAGCAGUGGGGAAUUUUGGACAAUGGGCGCAAGCCUGAUCCAGCAAUGCCGCGUGCAGGAUGAAGGCCUUCGGGUUGUAAACUGCUUUUGUACGGAACGAAAAGCCCUGGGUUAAUACCCUGGGGUCAUGACGGUACCGUAAGAAUAAGCACCGGCUAACUACGUGCCAGCAGCCGCCGUAA
rnacentral:rRNA from 1 species